rnacentral:rRNA from 1 species
CAAGUCGAGCGAGAAAGUGACUUCGGUCACGAGUACAGCGGCGGACGGGUGAGUAACACGUGGAUAACCUGCCUAGGUGUGGGGGAUAACUCGGGGAAACCUGAGCUAAUACCGCAUACGUUUCCCGGAUCGUGGUCCGGGCCACAAAGAUGACCUCUUCAUGAAAGUUGUCGCACUUAGAGGGGUCCGCGUCUGAUUAGCUAGUUGGUGGGGUAAUGGCCUACCAAGGCUUCGAUCAGUAGCCGGCCUGAGAGGGCGAUCGGCCACACUGGAACUGAGACACGGUCCAGACUCCUACGGGGGGCAGCAGUGGGGAAUAUUGCGCAAUGGGGGAAACCCUGACGCAGCAACGCCGCGUGGAGGAUGAAGGCUUUCGGGUCGUAAACUCCUGUCAGGUGGGAAGAACAGGCGUACGUGAAUAGCGUGCGCUGCUGACGGUACCACCAGAGGAAGCCCCGGCUAACUCCGUGCCAGCAGCCGCGGUAAUACGGAGGGGGCAAGCGUUAUUCGGAAUUAUUGGGCGUAAAGGGCGCGCAGGCGGCUUAGCAAGUCAAGGG